UGAGGAAUAUUGCGCAAUGGAGGCAACUCUGACGCAGCCAUGCCGCGUGCAGGAAGAAGGCGCUACGCGUUGUAAACUGCUUUUAUCCGGGAAGAAACCCCAGGACGUGUCCUGGGUUGACGGUACCGGAGGAAUAAGCACCGGCUAACUUCAUG
rnacentral:rRNA from 1 species